UACAGAGCAUAUUUUGAGAUACCCCCUAAGCCCCCCUAAAUUUGCCAUCAUAAGAAUAAAUUACAUUUUUAAAUAUAACACACACAUACAAAAAAACUGUGUUUUUAAAUAAAAAUAAUAAUGUUUCACAAUAAUAUGGUUUUCACUGUAUUUUAGAUUUUUUUGAUAAAGUAAAUUCAGCCUUGAUGGGCAUAAGAUACUUCUUUCUUUCUAUGCUAAGAGUCACAUGUCACAACAAACCCCCAUGAUUUUGAUUUCAAAGUAAUGGUCUUACUGUAGCACCACCCACAAUAAAAGUAAGCCAUUGGUCUAAUUUCUGAUAAUAUCCAAUAAGAUGUUUGGCACAGAUUAAUCAGAAACCAAAGAGUUGUUAUACCAGCCAAGAUAUAAACCACAGCAAGAGUAUAGCCUUUAGUAUACAGAGAGAGAGAGAAAAAAAAAACAUCAAACAUGACUUGUUGUUCAGGCAUACCAUGUUGUACCUAGUAUAUUAGUAAUAAAAAAGCACACAAGCUCCAGACUGACGCAAAUGAAAGUUUUCUGCAACAAAAACAAAUAUUAUGACGUUCAAUUGUACCUUAACAGUGCUGAUAAAGCAGGUACUUUUACAGUGAAUCACAAGAGCACAAACAAGCAGCUGACCUGUCGAGUGUCGAAUACAUGUAGGGGGUUUCUGUGAGAUGGACAGAAAGUACGUAAGAGAGGGGUUUAAAGAGGGAGGACAUCGAUAUGGCACAGCGCUAGUAUUUAGGGGUGGGGGGUUGUAUGUUUCUGAAAAAGAUCACGUCCAUGUCCAGGCAUAAUGAUCUCAAUGAUUUUUUUGGGGACGUUGGCACCGGGUCUGUUUCUGUUUGUCAGUUGUUACUUCAUGGCUGCUCUGCACUUUGUGAGGCUGCACUCACUGAUAUCCAGCAAAUUGUCCAGAUGUGAAGCGCUUGUCGAGGGUUUGGGCUCGGUUCAGCAAAGCAUUUGGCUUCCAAGAUUCUUCGCUCACAAACCCCAUUGCCCGUGACUGUAUUUUCACACUAUUAAUGCAGGUAUCCUCUUCAUAUCUUGAAUGAAAAAUAGUUUAAUCCUGUAAAGAUGUGUCUGUAAUGCUUUUGAGUCAGUCAAUAACAAUUAAUUCAAAGUCAGACAUCAGAUUCAGCUCUUGCUGUCAUUGCCAUUUUGUAUUUCCCAGAGUGCAUUUGGCAAAACUGCAGACUCCUCUCAGUCUAACAGCAGGUCCUUUAUUUUAGCUCAGGGGUGCCUGCGAGGAGGAUGUUGGCAGACCGGCUUUCAGAAAACACAUGGGAUUCUGUCCUCUAGCAAGUUCACUCUUCAUCAGUGUGUGAAAGGUACUCGCUCAUUCAGUUUA
ensembl:lncRNA